AGAGUUUGAUCCUGGCUCAGAUUGAACGCUGGCGGCAUGCCUUACACAUGCAAGUCGAACGGUAACGCGGGGGCAACCCUGGCGACGAGUGGCGAACGGGUGAGUAAUAUAUCGGAACGUGCCCAAGAGUGGGGGAUAGCUCGGCGAAAGCCGGAUUAAUACCGCAUACGAUCUAUGGAUGAAAGUGGGGGACCGCAAGGCCUCACGCUCCUGGAGCGGCCGAUAUCUGAUUAGCUAGUUGGUGGGGUAAGAGCCUACCAAGGCGACGAUCAGUAGCUGGUCUGAGAGGACGACCAGCCACACUGGGACUGAGACACGGCCCAGACUCCUACGGGAGGCAGCAGUGGGGAAUUUUGGACAAUGGGGGCAACCCUGAUCCAGCAAUGCCGCGUGAGUGAAGAAGGCCUUCGGGUUGUAAAGCUCUUUUGUCCGGAAAGAAAUCCGCUCGGUUAAUACCUGGGCGGGAUGACGGUACCGGAAGAAUAAGCACCGGCUAACUACGUGCCAGCAGCCGCGGUAAUACGUAGGGUGCAAGCGUUAAUCGGAAUUACUGGGCGUAAAGCGUGCGCAGGCGGUUGUGCAAGACAGAUGUGAAAUCCCCGGGCUUAACCUGGGAACUGCAUUUGUGACUGCACGGCUAGAGUGUGUCAGAGGGGGGUAGAAUUCCACGUGUAGCAGUGAAAUGCGUAGAUAUGUGGAGGAAUACCGAUGGCGAAGGCAGCCCCCUGGGAUAACACUGACGCUCAUGCACGAAAGC
rnacentral:rRNA from 1 species